rnacentral:antisense_RNA from 1 species
UGCUAUGGCGGCUGUGCGUGUGGGCACCUUCGGGUGCGCCGGUUUUCCUAGUUCUCCGGUCUGUCAACCCGCGCACAGCUGCCUCCACU